UACGUAGGGUGCAAGCGUUAAUCGGAAUUACUGGGCGUAAAGGGCGCGUAGGCGGCUGUACAAGUCAAAGGUGAAAUCCCUCGGCUCAACUGAGGAACUGCCUUUGAAACUGUACGGCUUGAGGCCGGGAGGGGGUAGCGGAAUUCCCAAUGUAGCGGUGAAAUGCGUAGAUAUUGGGAGGAACACCAGUGGCGAAGGCGGCUACCUGGACCGGUUCUGACGCUGAUGCGCGAAAGCGUGGGUAGCAAACAGG
rnacentral:rRNA from 1 species